rnacentral:rRNA from 1 species
GAUUAACGCUGGCGGCGUGCCUAACACAUGCAAGUCGAACGAUGAAACUUAAAUGAUUUCUUCGGAAUGAACUUAAGUGGAUUAGUGGCGGACGGGUGAGUAACGCGUGAGUAACCUGCCUUACACAAGGGGAUAGCCGUUGGAAACGACGAAUAAUACCCUAUGAAACUAUCACUUCGCAUGAAGCGAUAGUCAAAGUGUUAGCGGUGUAAGAUGGACUUGCGUCUGAUUAGCUAGUUGGUGAGAAAAAAGCCCACCACGGCAACGAUCAGUAGCCGGCUUGAGAGAGUGUACGGCCACAUUGGGACUGAGACACGGCCCAGACUCCUACGGGAGGCAGCAGUGGGGAAUUUUGCACAAUGGGGGAAACCCUGAUGCAGCGACGCCGCGUGAUUUAGAAGGCCUUCGGGUUGUAAAAAUCUUUUGUAUAGGAAGAAAAUGACAGUACUAUACGAAUAAGGUCCGGCUAAUUACGUG